rnacentral:misc_RNA from 1 species
CAGCAAGGCACCAUUCCAUGUUCAGACGUCACUGCGAGCGGUUGUUGUUGGCGCUAACGGUAUAAGUUCCGUGAUUUUUGAAGUUACAACUAAGUGCCGUGUUUAAACUUGCGUGAUUGUAGCGAUACCGUGUUUUGUUUCAAGACUAGCAUCAAUUUUAAAUUGCAAGAUUGUAUAUUUCAAAUUUGCCCGGACUCGAAUGUACAAGUACUACAUAUUAUAAAUGUUGACCAGGCAUCCUGAAUGAUCGUCGCUUCAACGGGUCCACCUUGUAAACAUUCAGCAUGGUGGUAGUGCUGAACGGAGUCCUCGUGGACGAGUGUCCGACGUCGGUGCGAGCGCUCCUGGCGGCGCACCCCGGCUACAGAGACGCGGCUGCGCAGCUGCUGGCGGCGGCGGCGCGCGUCGUCGGGCCCGCCGGCCUGCUGUACGUGGCGCAGAGGGAGCUGGCGCAGGUGGUGCCUCAUGACAAAAACGUCAGUAUCAUAGGGUCAGAUGACGCCACGUCGUGUAUUAUAGUCGUUGUCAGACAUUCAGGGUCAGGGGCAGUGUCACUAGGUCACCUGGAUGGGUCGGGCACGGCGGAGGCAGCGGCCGCCAUGGUGGCGCGGGUGCAGCAGCUAGCGGUGGGCUAUCCGGAGGGAAGGCUUGAGUUGCAGCUGGUCGGCGGGUUCACUGACCCACAUAGAUACUCGGACGAACUGUUCGCCAAUAUUAUGUUAUCAUUCCAUCGUCUGACGGAGGAGAUAGACUUAACCCUCGCGUGCUGUUGCGAGUUGAACACGGCGCUCGGCGGGGGGUCGCCCGCACCCCUCGUCACCGGCGUCGGUGUGGACAUCCGAGCCGGUGACCUCUUCCCGGCAACCUUCCCCGACAAGGGGCCAGAGCUGCCCCUGCGCGGAGCGAGAAACAUCACUGGCGGACCCAACUCUGGACAAGUUCUCGAUAUAUACGAUAACGCGGUGGGCAUGCUUCGCAUCGGGCCAUUCACAUACGAGCCGCUGCGAGGCGUGGACCUGUGGCUCGACCAGUCGGACGACUUCAUACUGCAACACCUCAGCACCACGCCGGCGGUGGAAGCGCCGCAUUUUGUGCAUCACAUCCGUGUAACCCUGAAGUUCAUCCAGCAGCAUCCGUUCCCCGCGGUAACCGUGUUCCCGGACAACCGGCCGCACUACUACCGGCGCGACGAGCAAACCGGCUGCUGGGUGCCCGUGCGCUUCUAGACUAGCCCCGAGAACGAUGCCACUAUACUCCGCGCCACGCAACAAGUCCCGUAGACGCUAAUGUCUUAAUGGCGCUUAUUGUGAUUUGGUAAUGGCGGUCUUAUUGUCAUUUAUGUAAAGGGCAAACGCCAUUGUGUUCAGAGGGUGAUGGUGCAUAGUGGCUGACAAUUGUCGAUCGUGGUGCACAAUCUGGAAGUUGUCGGAUUUUUUAGGCACACUUCAAAGGAAUCGUGGCGUAUCGUGGAUUCACACAAUCGCCCAUUGCUUAGUUCGCCGCAGACCUCUGAUAGAGAUAUUACGUCCUAUACGUUGAAUAGUCAGCAUCUACCAUCGCCUUUGUUUAAAUAUAUUUGUUGUGGUGCACACUUUUAUAGUACUUAUAGGCAGUAUAAGUAUAUAAAUAAAUAGCCGCGGCCGUAAUUGCUUCCACGUCCAUGCAAGUGCUUUACCAGGCAACAAUGAGCCAUGCGCCAUCGUGUGAACACCACGUGAUCGUGGCCUACAGUUGUGCAUUGCAAAGCAUGGCCCAUCACAAGCCAUUGUGUACUGGAAGCUUAAGGCGCUGUUAAUUUUAGUUCAGGUUUUAGCCGAGGGACUUCUUUGUGGUG